rnacentral:rRNA from 1 species
UACGUAGGUGGCAAGCGUUGUCCGGAUUUACUGGGCGUAAAGAGCGCGCAGGCGGUUGUGCAAGGCGCGUGUGAAAGCCCCCGGCUCAACUGGGGAGGGUCACGCGAUACUGUUCGACUUGAAGGCAGGAGAGGGAAGUGGAAUUCCCGGUGUAGUGGUGAAAUGCGUAGAUAUCGGGAGGAACACCGAUGGCGAAGGCAGCCCCCUGGGUCAAGACUGACACUCAUGCACGAAAGCGUGGGGAGCAAACAGG